rnacentral:rRNA from 1 species
GACGAACGCUGGCGGCGUGCUUAACACAUGCAAGUCGAACGGAAAGGCCCCCACUUUUUUGGUGGGGGUGCUCGAGUGGCGAACGGGUGAGUAACACGUGGGUGAUCUGCCCUGUACUUCGGGAUAAGCUUGGGAAACUGGGUCUAAUACCGGAUAGGACCAUGGUUUAGUGUCUCAUGGUGGAAAAAUUAUUGUUUUGGUGCAGGAUGAGCUCGCGGCCUAUCAGCUUGUUGGUGGGGUAAUGGCCUACCAAGGCGUCGACGGGUAGCCGGCCUGAGAGGGUGGCCGGCCACAUAGGGACUGAGAUACGGCCCAGACACCUACGGGAGGCAGCGGUGGGGAAUAUUGCACAAUGGGCGCAAGCCUGAUGCAGCGACGCCGCGUGGGGGAGGACGGCCUUCGGGUUGUAAACUCCUUUCGUUAGGGACGAAGCCGCACCUUUUUGGGGUGUGGUGACGGUACCUUUGUUAAGAAGCACCGGCUAACUACGUG